UACAGAGGUCUCAAGCGUUGUUCGGAUUCACUGGGCGUAAAGGGUGCGCAGGCGGCUAAGUGUGUCAGAUGUGAAAUCCCGAGGCUCAACCUCGGGUCUGCAGUCGAUACGAGCAAACUAGAGUGUUGCAGGGGAGACUGGAAUUCCUGGUGUAGCGGUGAAAUGCGCAGAUAUCAGGAGGAACACCGGUGGCGAAGGCGGUUCUCUGGGCCUUACCUGACGCUGAGGAGCGAAAGCGUGGGGAGCAAACAGG
rnacentral:rRNA from 1 species